UGCGGUAUAGCAUAGUGGUAAUGCAAUCGGCUGAUAACCGAUAGAGCAAAGUUCAAUUCUUUGUACCGCGA
rnacentral:tRNA from 1 species